CGGGUGAGUAAUGCGUGACCAACCUCGCCCCAUGCUCCAGAAUAGCUCUUGGAAACGGGUGGUAAUGCUGGAUGCUCCAACUUGACGCAUGUCUUGUUGGGAAAGUGUUUAGUGGCAUGGGAUGGGGUCGCGUCCUAUCAGCUUGUAGGCGGGGUAAUGGCCCACCUAGGCUUCGACGGGUAGCCGGCCUGAGAGGGCGGACGGCCACAUUGGGACUGAGAUACGGCCCAGACUCCUACGGGAGGCAGCAGGC
rnacentral:rRNA from 1 species